ensembl:lncRNA
AGAGCUCGCGAAAGAAGGUGGAACGUAAGGGAGACACCAUUUCCAAAACAGGUAAGGCCGUAACAACUAGUUUGUGAAAGACCCAGAGAAACACAAAUAUACGACGAAGCAAAAUCCCGGACGUUUAUGGAAUCUCUGCCGGACGCAUUUUUUAGGUCUCAAAAAGAGGACAUGUCCGGAGAAAAGAGGACGUUUUGUCACCCUAAUGAAACAGUCUGAUAACUCUGUCCUCGCAGCAGCUAACGAUGGCUCACCGCUUGUGUAGCUACAGCAGCUAGCUAGCCAUCUGCCUUCUAUUCGUAUUUAUUUUUCUACACAAUAGAAAAGCGAUGUGCUCUCGUGCCUCAUGCAGCUCUUCUGUGUUGCACGUCAAUACUUUGAGACAAACAAGGAGCGUCAAUCUAACGUAAAUGCUUUUCAAUAAAUGUCUUUAGUUCCUGCACAAUGAACAUGAAUCUCAAAUUAAAUGAUUAAUAUUCCCCAAAUUCAAAUUAACUACACUUCCGCUGUUACAGAGGGGAAACACUGUAAUCAUACUGUAAACUUUCAAAAGUUCAUAUAUUGUGCAUAGUUUGAAGUGAAAAAAACCCUUUCUUCAAUUGUGUUUGGGUUCAGGCUCUGUUUAGGAUCGGUAUUGGAAAAACCCAAACGAUACUCAUCCCUACUCUCACGUGACAUGUCUGCGCGCUCAACGUGAAGCUAAAGCCAGCCGCUGGUUAGCUUAGCAUGAAGACUGGAGACAAGAGGGCUCGAAAGGGAUGUUUAAAAAUCCGGAUUCAACAGUUUACAAAUUUCCGACUUGAUGAAACAAUAGACAAAAAAAAAAAGUGUUUGCUUUCAAGAUCAAGAUGGGGUCAUAGAAAAAAACAAGUAGAGCAAAGUGUUUUAUGCACCAUGUGAAGUGGAUGAGCUCCAUCAAUACAAUACACUGUCCACACACACACAUUUACUCUAAAGGCUCAGUUGCAUAUUGUAGAUACCUUCACUGUAACCAUAGAGACGUUACAUCAUGAUGGAACAUUUCUCCACGUUCCAUGUUCCAUGUUCAUGUUCUAUGCUCCGUUCACCACAGCAUAAGAACACAGUCUGUUGCACAUCCAGUCAGUCAGUUUCAAACCUCGCAUCUACACACUGAAGUUUUCCGGACCUACACUUGCAGAAAGCAACCAUGUAAUGCCUCAGGAGUCUGUGGAGGGGACGAAGACGCGUUCUGCUGCACUUAACAGAGCUCAAGACCAACGGGACGCCAUCAGACGCCACGUCAACCCCUCAGGAGCAAAUCCAGAUCUACGCAUGACAUACACUUAGAUACACUUUAUUAGAUGUACACAAAGACAUAACAAUUAGAUGUACACACAGACACUAACAAUUAGAUCCACACACAGACACACUAACAAUUAGAUGUACACACAGACACACUAACAUUUGGUUCUAAACAAAGACACACACUAACAUUUAGAUGUACACAAAGACACAUUAAUAUUUAGAUGUACACACAGACACACUAACAAUUAGAUCUACACACAGACACACUAACAAUUAGAUGUACACACGGACACACUAACAAUUAGAUCUACACACAGACACACUAACAAUUAGAUGUACACACUGACACGUGCUGAUGACCAUCCUCACGUCUCUUCUCCUUGUCUGCAGACCAACAGGACGCCAUCAGGACGCCACGUCAUCAGGACACCAUCAGGACGCCACGUCAUCGGGACGCCAUCAGGAUUCCAUCAGGACGCCAUCAGGACGCCGCGUCAACCCCUCAGGAGCAAAUCCAGAUCUACUCAUGACACACACACACACACACACACACACACACACACACAGAUGUACUCAGAGACACACUAACAUUUAGACACGCUGGCAAAUUUAGAUGUACAAUUAGAUGUACACACAGACACACUAUCAUUUGGUUCUAAACAAAGACACACACUAAUAUUUAGAUGUACACAAAGACACAAUAACAAUUAGAUGUACACACAGACACACUAUCAUUUGGUUCUAAACAAUGACACACACUAAUAUUUAGAUGUACACAAAGACAUAUUAAUAUUUAGAUGUACACACAGACACACUACCAUUUGGUUCUAAACAAAGACACUAAUAUUUAAAUGUGCACAAAGACAUAUUAAUAUUUAGAUGUACACACAGACACACUAACAAUUAGAUGUACACACAGACACACUCAUUUGGUUCUAAACAAAGACACACACUAAUAUUUAGAUGUACACAAAGACACAAUAACAAUUAGAUGUACGCACAGACACACUAACAAUUCGAUCUACACACAGACACACUAACAAUUCGAUGUACACACAGACACACUAACAUUUGGUUCUAAACAAAGACACACACUAAAAUGUAGAUGUACACAAAGACACAUUAAUAUUUAGAUGUACACACAGACACACUAACAAUUAGAUGUACACACAGACACACUAACAUUUGGUUCUAAACAAAGACACACACUAAUAUUUAGAUGUACACAAAGACACAUUAAUAUUUAGAUGUACACACAGACACACUAACAAUUAGAUGUACACACAGACACACUAACAUUUGGUUCUAAACAAAGACACACACUAAUAUUUAGAUGUACACAAAGACAAUAACAAUUAGAUGUACGCACAGACACACUAACAAUUAGAUCCACACACAGACACACUAACAAUUAGAUGUACACACAGACACACUAACAUUUGGUUCUAAACAAAGACACACACUAAUAUUUAGAUGUACACAAAGACAAUAACAAUUAGAUCCACACACAGACACACUAACAAUUAGAUGUACACACAGACACACUAACAUUUGGUUCUAAACAAAGACACACACUAACAUUUAGAUCUACACACAGACACACUAACAAUUAGAUGUACACACAGACACAUCCUGAUGAUCCUCCUCACGUCUCUUCUCCUUGUCUGCAGACCAACAGGACGCCAUCAGGACGCCACGUCAUCGGGACGCCAUCAGGACACCACGUCAUCGGGAUGCCAUCAGGACACCACGUCAUCGGGACGUCAUCGGGACGCCAUCAGGACGCCUAACAAUUAGAUGUACACACAGACACACUAUCAUUUGGUUCUAAACAAUGACACACACUAAUAUUUAGAUGUACACAAAGACACAAUAACAAUUAGAUGUACACACAGACACACUAUCAUUUGGUUCUAAACAAUGACACACUAAUAUUUAGAUGUACACAAAGACACAAUAACAAUUAGAUAUACACACAGACACACUAUCAUUUGGUUCUAAACAAAGACACACACUAAUAUUUAGAUGUACACAAAGACACAAUAACAAUUAGAUGUACACACGGACACAUCCUGAUGAUCCUCCUCACGUCUCUUCUCCUUGUCUGCAGACCAACAGGACGCCAUCAGGACGCCACGUCAUCGGGACACACUAACAUUUAGAUGUACACACAGACACACUAACAUUUGGUACUAAACAAAGACACACACUAAUAUUUAGAUGUACACAAAGACAUAAUAAUAUUUAGAUGUACACACAGACACACUAACAUUUAGAUGUACACACAGACACACUAACAAUUAGAUGUACACACAGACACACUAACAACAUUAACAUGUUAAUAACUUUUCUUCUUUUCUCUCUUCUCAGGAACUGCUUCAGAUGUUUUCCCAAUGAUUGUGUUAUUAUUAUUGUUAAAUAUGUCGUCUGUUUAUUAUUUUAAUGAAAAUAAAUUUUAAUAGAAAUAAAA